CAUUGGGGGUGUUGGGGUAUGGGUGGGUAUUUGGGGACAUUGGGCACUGGGGUCACUGGGGGCACUGGGGGGCACUGGGGGGGACAGGGGGACACUGGGAUAUGGGAACAUGCAUGGGGACAUGGGGGGGGGAUUGGGGGUAAUGGGGGGACACGGGGUCACCGGGGGCCAUGGGGACAGGGGACACUGGGGACAUUGGGGACACUGGGGACAUUGUGGACAGGCCCCCCCGGUGCCCCCCCCAGGAGUUCCACCCCUCGGGGGGGUCCCGCGCCUCCUUCCUGGCCUUCGCCGCCCGCCUGGACCGGGCCCUGCAGCCCCGCUACCAGCGCCUGCACGAGCACCUGCAGGUGGGUUAGGGGGCGCUAUGGGGCAGCUAUGGGGCAGCUAUGGGGUGACACGGGGCAGCUAUGGGGCAGCUAUGGGGCAGCUAUGGGGUGCUAUGGGGUGCUAUGGGGCAGCUAUGGGGCGCUAUGGGGCUCUACCAAUCCUCCCCGUCCUCCAGGCUCUCUACGGCCCCAUCGACCCCGACCGUGACACCGUGGCCAACCUGGGGGAGCUGCGGGACCUCGGCGGGGACCCCGGGCCUGCUGUGGGGCAGAGACCCCCUCUGGGGCAGGGGGCGUCUAUGGGGCAGGGGGUCACUACAGGUCAAGGGGUAACUACGGGACAAGGAGCCGCUAUGGGGCAGAGGCCCGCUAUGGGGCAGGGGGCCGCCAUGGGGCGGCGUGAGCAGCGCGUGGUGGCCGCGCUGGCCCCGCUGCUGGCCGAGGCCAACUUCCAGCGGCUCCCCGACGCCGCCGUCGCCUUCGCCCUCCUGGUGCAGCACCCCCUGGACGAGGUGCAGGUAACAUGCGGGGACCCCCCCCAAUUUGGGNNNNNNNNNNNNNNNNNNNNNNNNNNNNNNNNNNNNNNNNNNNNNNNNNNNNNNNNNNNNNNNNNNNNNNNNNNNNNNNNNNNNNNNNNNNNNNNNNNNNGUGGCCUCGCUGGUGGCCGAGGUGGCCCGGGCCAAGCGGCGCCCGCGGCUCCCCGAGCCCCCCGGCUGGGAGCAGGGGUUUCGGGACAGCUUCGUGCCCCUCUCCAAGGAGCAGCUGCGGGGGCUGCUGCUGGCCGUAAGGGGGCACUGGGAGCACUGGGGGGCACUGGGGGGCACUGGGGCAUUGGGAGUGUUGGGAUAUGGGUGGGUAUUUGGGGACAUUGGGGCACUGGGGUCACUGGGGGCACUGGGGGGCACUGGGGGGGACACUGGGGGGCACUGGGAUAUGGGGACAUGGAUGGGGACACGGGGGGGGUAUUGGGGUUAAUGGGGGACAUGGGGUCACCUGGGGCCAUGGGGACAGGGGACACUGGGGACAGGGGGACACUGGGGACACUGGGGACAUUGUGGACAGGCCCCCCCGGUGCCCCCCCCCCAGGAGUUCCACCCCUCGGGGGGGUCCCGCGCCUCCUUCCUGGCCUUCGCCGCCCGCCUGGACCGGGCCCUGCAGCCCCGCUACCAGCGCCUGCACGAGCACCUGCAGGCUCUCUACGGCCCCAUCGACCCCGACCGUGACACCGUGGCCAACCUGGGGGAGCUGCGGGACCUCGGCGGGGACCCCGGGCCUGCUGUGGGGCAGAGACCCCCUAUGGGGCAGGGACCUGCUAUGGGGCAGGGGGUCACUACAGGUCAAGGGGUAACUACGGGACAAGGAGCCUCUAUGGGGCAGAGGCCCGCUAUGGGGCAGAGACCCGCUAUGGGGCAGGGGGCCGCCGUGGGGCGGCGCGAGCAGCGCGUGGUGGCCGCGCUGGCCCCGCUGCUGGCCGAGGCCAACUUCCAGCGGCUCCCCGACGCCGCCGUCGCCUUCGCCCUCCUGGUGCAGCACCCCCUGGACGAGGUGCAGGUAACAUGCGGGGACCCCCCCCAAUUUGGGGACCCCCCCCCAAUUUGGGGACCCCCCCACCCCAACACACACACACACACUUGGGAUCCCCCAGCCCGCACCCCAGGCCCAAAUCUGGGGGAU
rnacentral:lncRNA from 1 species